rnacentral:lncRNA from 1 species
AUUCCUGCUUUUGCAAUCUGGGAGGAACAACAAAAGGAGUCUCUCUGUGCCUCUGUCCCUCAGAUGGGGGUGCACGGGCUUCCACCAGCAAAACAUUUCCAUGUGGCUCUCGAUGGGCAGGGGACUCAGCGGCCAGCAUGGACCUGCUUUUCUAAAACUUGGGUCUGAGUCCAGGUCCAGCCCCUUCUUUGCUAUGUGGACUUUGAGGAGCAAUUGAAUCUCUGUGUCUUGUUACCAUUCAGCCAGCUGUCCACCAAUUCAGAGCGUGUUCACUGAGCACCUGCUACGUGCUGGCCUUGGGUUAAGUGCUGGAGAUAUCAAUGUGCCCUCCUGGAGCGUGUGGACCAGAGAGACAGAAUUAAACCACUAACAACAAAUAAGAGUGAGGGCUGUGGUCUCAGAGGCCUUGCAGUGGACACAUGGACAGAAAGUCCAGUCCUGGGGAGUCAAUGACACGCAAGAUAAAUCUCUGAGCAGCAAGGACAGUCAAGAUGCAAGCGUCGCUCCUUGGACUCUGAAACCUGUGUCAUUUCCUCCCUGCUUUGCAGUGCUGCCCACACAACAGCUGUUGGGUGCCGGGAAUUAGGAAUCCGGAUUCAGAGCCUGCCCAUGUGUGGCCGAGGCGACGGGCCUUCCCAGGUGUGGUGCCACAUGCCCAGAAGGCUGCUCUACAGAGGGAGGAGAACGGGGCUGGUUGCAGGGGGAAGCCGAGUUGUCUCCCCAGCAAACACUCCCAGGCACCCCUUCCUGCUUUCGAAGAGAACCUCCAUUUUCUUUGGGAAGCCCCCCUUCCCCAUAGGAUGGUGGCGAUCCCCUUUACCUCGCCAGUGAUCCACUCGGCACCUGACUCAGCUGUGGCCAAAGCGGCACGGGCCAGGGCUAGAGGAGCUUCUGGAGGGCUCCUAAGAAAGAGACGCCUGGGAAAAGCAGCCCUCUCUAGGAUUAGAUGCAGCCCUGUCUUCAUGUGUGGGCCACCGUGAUGCCAGGAAAGGAGCACUCGCCACAGAGCCAGCGAUGGAGGUGAGUGGGAAGGAAAGACGGGAUAGACCAGAUGCCGGAACACGACGGAGCCUCCAGAGAAGGCCACUGGGGCAUCCUACGUCAGGACCCGCUGUGAUGUGGGAAAACAUACUUUUCUCAUUGUGUGGGCAAGGUGAGUCAGAGUUUUCUGUUUUGUGCACAGACAUUUGAACUACUGCACAGGGACGGAAGGACACGCAGCCCAGGAGGGAGGGGCUGAGAGAGGGGCGGCUCCCCAGCCUCCAAUUCCCUCCCCAGACCUGAACGCCCAGCUUCUCUUUGCAUUGUGUGAAAUUCCAGUGUCUUCCCAAGAAAUCCUCCUUCACCAUGUAAGCAACCCUGAGGCAGAUUCUAUUGCUUGAAACCCAAAGACCCAAAGAA